rnacentral:lncRNA from 1 species
GGAAGAAAUGUUGGGCUACAUGUCAACAAUUGUAACUACUUAGUGUAAAGGAUGGUCUUGAAAUUAUAUAUAGAGAAUCCUGUAUGAAGAGACUACACUGAACUCCUAAAAGAGUGAAGAAGACAGCUCAUCAGCAAACGAGCAAUCUAAGUGACCAGGUGAGGAUUCAGGAACAGGUAGAGAAGAAAAAGGACGCAUGCAGGCAUAAAUAGUCACAUAGCAUUUGUACUCCAGUGAAGAGCCUCUAGAGAAAAGCAAACAUGGAACAUUUCCUUGGGAGGGCAAAGCUGGCAUCACUGAGACCUUCAGAAUAUCCUCAGCUGACAACUCUAUGAAACCUGACGCUUUUCUCUGGAUUAUUCUGAAGACUGAAUAAAUUCUAACCACUUCAAAAGUGUUUGUAUAGGCACUCAUAGCCAUUGGAGGGAAGGAAGAGUGCAGCUGCCAUUACAAUUCCCAUCAAUCUGCAGGGUGAGGAGAUGAGAGAAAUUUCAAUGCCUGAGACAGACAAGCUGUCAUUUGGAAAAUUCUGUGAAGUGUUAGAAAUGGAUGAAUCCAAGAGCAAUGAAAACCUGAAGAUCCCUAUUGCAAGAGCCUUUAUAAUUUUCAUUAGAAAAUAGAAAUAUCUUUGACAUUUCUGUCAUGGAGAAGAUUAUCUGACACACAGAAUAAAUAAAUAAAUAAAUAACA